GGUGGAUACCAUAAACAUGUAAGGGUACUAUCGGGAUUGGUUGUUGCCUUCUCCACUGUAGGAGGGCCGGGCAGAGACGCUUCACCAAGAGAAUUUUUGAGGAGAAAAAUGCCUGGGGCCUUUUCUUCCCACUACCUACUCCAGUGGAGGCUUCCCGUCAGAUUGUAAUGUGUGAUGGAGGGAACUGACAGAGCUGUGGUUGAGAAUUCUGGGAUGUGGACUGAAGGGAGCAC
rnacentral:lncRNA from 1 species